GCUUGCUAUAAGAGCCAUGUUUAAAUGAACUGAUGAUUGGCCAGCAAUCAUUAAAUAAAGUUGAAUAGGCCUAAAUCGUUUGCCUCGAGACACCAGUAAGUCUUCAGUCCUUGAUGAGCCAUGACCUGACCAACGACAAACUGACUUUCUACACAAUCAGCAAAGACUGCAUUUAUAAACAACUUUCGGAGAUAAAACAGCAAUAAAAGACAAUAUUUCUACAUUUAUUCCAUUAAAUAUAAAAAGAACUACUAACUAGAGAGGGUCAAUGUUUGAGAGCAACAGGGAUUGAUAGGAAUUAUUAAUCCUUCAAACACGGGAAAAGCGCUCAGUUUUUAUUCCUGUACUAUCAAUGACCCUGGCUACAGACCAGCCACGGCCACUUUCGAUACAGGGUGACCAAACAGACACAAGCUGUUACCUGCUGCUCUGCAGAACCAGGGUCCAACAUGGAGCCCAGCCUCCUUCACCCAUCACCACCACCGCCGGGCUGGGAACAAACACAAGCAUGAAACACCACAACAAUCUAAAGAUUCACCUUAACCAUGAAUAAUAUUACUCUUCAAUACAGCUCUAUCCUUUCAAACAUACGAAUGACUCAGUGCUUAUCGGCAUGCAUUUGUUUGUUUUUUUACAAUUAGCCAAAGUCUGAUACUAAUUCCACAUCUGGUCCCCUACUUUGACCCAAAAACUGAUUAAAAAUGGAUUGCAAAAUCUAACAAAGUUUUUGAAUAAUCACACAUUCAGACAAAUCUGCUUUGGAUACAAGACAAUUGAUUAUAAUUCAGCGAUGGUACAAAUAAAUUACUUAAAUAACCAGAGAGGGUAAAUGUUUGAGAGCAACAGGGAUUGAUAGGAAUUAUUAAUCCUUCAAACACGGGAAAAGCGCUCAGUUUUUAUUCCUGUACUAUCAAUGACCCUGGCUACAGACCAGCCACGGCCACUUUCGAUACAGGACACACACACACACACAGUUACCUGCUACUCUGCAGGACCAGGGUCCAACAUGGAGCUCAGCAGAACGCCAGCCUUCAUCCUGAGCACCACCUGGAUGGGACAGAACACGAGCAUGAGACACAACAUUAUUUUGUUUAACAGCUAGAUUAACCCCUGCUGUAGGAGUUAGACGUUAGUGCAAGUUAGUAGCCUAGCAUGCUAUAAGAGCCAUGUUUAAAUGAACUGAUGAUUGGCCAGCAAUCAUUAAAU
ensembl:lncRNA